rnacentral:rRNA from 1 species
AUGUCUUCCUCCUUCGGCGCUUCCCUCCCGGCCAGUCUUAAUGGCCAGGUCACCCAGAAGCUAUCCCGCAUGAACUACGUGUUGUGGCGCACGCAGAUGAUCCCCCAACUGCGUGGCGCCGGGGUCUUCGGCUAUGUCGAUGACACCCAGCCAGAGCCGGCAAAGCUGCUCGUCACCACCGACAAGGAAGGAAAGCAGACUUCAACGCCCAACCCUCUCCACCCAAUCUGGGUUCGGGAGGACCAGUAG